CCAGGUCUAUUUUUAUGGCUUUAUGGGAUGGGACUGCUGUUAAAAGUGGGUGUACUCUCAGAGGCGGCUCUGAUCAUUGUAGUUAAACAUAGAUAGAUGAAAAGGCAUGCUCGGUUGCUUUUAAUACAUGGUUCAGGUAACGAUCAUAUGAAUUUAUAGAAGAAUCAUUUCGGUUUCAAGUCAGGAUGCCAUCAGGUAAUUGCAGCAAAUUUCUGCAAGAAUCACUUGAAUGGGUCUCUUUUAUAAAUUACGUAACGCUAUACAGGAAGGAAGGAUGUCUACCGUAGCGUUACAUGAUGUAACAGAUAUAUCGGUUCCCGGUCUGCUUUGCUCACUGCCCCAUGGAUUGAUAUUCAUGAAUCGUUAUGGUCGCCGUUUACGUUGUGGCCAGCAAAAAACACCCGUAGAAUGCCGGCAGGUUACUCGGAAACCGGUGUUUGGAAGACAAAGUGAUAAAUGAACCACUAGGGAGUUUUUCUUCCCUUCUGUUUGUGCUGCUUCAAUUUCAAUUACCACGCGCGACUUUGUUAUCUCGUCGACUUAGAGACGAACCAGCCAAGGGCUGAAAGUCUCUCUAAUAAAGACAAAUCAAUCAAACAAUCUCGUCGACUUGCAUGGCUCACGGAGGGAUACAAGGAAGAUACUCCGAUAUACAAAAGCUACGGCGAGGAGUGGGCAUCAAGGAUAUUUUCGAUCACCUGGCAAUCGUUUGAGCCAUUUGUCUAGAACUCACUUCAGAGGCCUAAUAAAGGGUGAUACGGUCAAAAUUUGGUCACACAAUUUUUUUCAUAACUUUAGACUGCGUACACCAAAACAGCUGAUUUUUGGACCAGUAAUGCUAUAUUAUAUGUAGCUUAUACCAUAAAAUUUUCAUCAAAAUCGAUUAAGUAUUGGUUGAUAUAUAAAUAAAACCAUUGACCUACCUUUUGAAAAUUUUGUACAAAGGCGUUCCAUAGUAAAUUUUCGGAAAUUCAAGGUCAGUAAAGCACAAUUUUGAUUAUAAAACUACCAAUACUGCUCCGAUUUUUAUCAAAAUUUUACAGUAUAACACUAUUAUGAAAAUAUGUUCUUAGUAAAAUUUUGAGCCAUUUUGUAUGAAUACUUCCAAAGUUGUAGCAGUUUGAAUAUGAAAAAACUGACCGGGUGCCACUUAAGCCAAUAUAACUUUGUAACGGCUGGAUUAAAUUGAAUGAAAUUUUUACACCACAUUUUGAUAUGCAUACUUCACAUACAGAAAAAUUUUCAUUGAAAUCGGUUAUGUACCUCUGGCUCUAUAAAUAAAACAGUAAAAAUGUGUUCUUAUUUGUGCACAAAAUUUUAAAAUUACAGAUCUCAGGGUUCAACAAUAUCUCCGCAAAUACUAGACCGAUUUUGAUGAAAAUUUUAUGGUACAAGCUACAUAUGAUGUACCAUUACUGAUCCAAAAAUCAGCUGUUUUGGUGUAGGCAGUCUAAAGUUGUGAAAAAAAAUGUGUGACCAAAAUUUGACUUGACAAAACUUAACAAAAUUUGACCACAUAAACAAAUAUAACUUUGUAACGGCUGGAUCAAAUUGAAUGAAAUUUUUACACAACAUUUUGAUAUGUAUACUUUACAUACAGGAAAAUUUUCAUUGAAAUUGGUUCAGUAUUUCUGGCUCUAUAAAUAAAAGAAUAAAAAUGCGUUCUUAUUUUUUAAUCCUCUUUGUACAAAAUUUUAAAAUUGCAGUUUUCAGGAUUCACAAUAUCUCCGCAAAUACUAAACCGAUUUUGAUGAAAAUUUUGUGGUACAAGCUACAUAUAAUGUACCAUUACUGGUUCAAAAAUCAGCUGUUUCGGUGUACGCAGUCUCAAGUUAUGAAACAAAUUAAGUGACCAAAUUUUGACCGUAUCACCCUUUAUUAUGUAGAAUGUGAUGUUCGGCAAACUUGUAGAUUAGUGUUUUUUUCUACAAUUAUCGCUAAGGACGCCAUAUUCUAACUCUAGGGGCAUGAAAGUGUUACUAAACGAUCGGAUUGUUCGAUCGUUUAGUAUGAGUAGGUAAUUAUAGUGCUCUCACGCCGACUAUAUGAGAGUAAGAACAUGGCGUCCUUGGGGCCCAUAUAGCCGAGGCGGUAAACGCACGGGUAUUCAGCAUGACCAUGCUGAGGGUGACGGGUUCGAUUCCCGGUCGGUCCAGGAUCUUUUCGUAAAGGAAAUUUCCUUGACUUCCUUCACUGACAAAAUUCCAAUAUUUUUUUAUAUGUGCCAAAACACAUAACAUUUUAAAGCACAAUACAAAUUAAUAUCAUAAUAUAACGUCAUAACACAUAUGAUGAUUGCUUUUAUGAUUUAUGUGUGAAGACCACAUAGUAAAAAUCUAUAAAGUUUCACACAUAAAUAAUAUAUAGGAAAUGAACUCGUGAACAACAACGAUGACGGCGGCAACAUCAGCAGCAGCAGCAGCUCGGAGUCUUGCUCGGAACUACCAUUUUGAAGGCAGUGAAAAACGGGUUGAGAUGUUUCCCGAUUUGUUCCAAGUGGUGUUGGCGAUUACAAAUAAAGCACCCUAACAUGAUCGACAUUAGGCUUUCUCCAUAAUGAUUUCCAUCAUAUCCGCGGAUGCUUGAUCCAGGAAUGGCAGCAGUGAAAAAUCGUCGGUUAACUGUCGGAUGGUGUGUAUGAUGACGAGAUCGGAGGAGAUAACGGAUCAGGAUCUGGAUCAGGACGAAAUUACGGACGGAAUCAUGCUGCCAAUGGGCCCGGUGGUGGAAAUGCUAUCAAAGAUCAUCGAUGGAUAUGCGUCGUUCUGCAGAUGGGAAUGGAUUAGUGACCCGGAAGGCAAAUUACGUAAUCGGAAGCAAGGCACAGCGUAUUUGCAGCUUGAUUAAAAGUGUUAUUUUUUUCUCGAGAUUUAUAGCAAUAGCUACUACCGACGGUCCGCACUUCAUGUAGAAACUUCUUUAAAUAAAUAUACAAUAUUAUCAAUAAUAUGUCAAUAAUAGUUAUUUUAUCAAUUUAUCAAUAAAGCAAAGGGAACUAACCUCCAAUUAUAAAACAAAAGAGAAGCAGUAAAAAUAAUUGGAAACACUAAUGAAAACUAUGUACGAUGGGAUCAUAACAUUCAUAUUUGAUCAUUCUGUCAUUUAUAUACUCGACACAUAAUUUUAAUAACGGUGAAGUUCAUCCUCGUAUAUGUGUCAUACAAAUAAUGUUUAUAUUUAGUUUCUAAUUGCAAAAAUCUAUAUCAGGUGACACAUAAACCCAAUAUGGAAAAUUUUCUCAGUGUUGGGCAUAGAGUAUCUUCGUGCCUGCCACACGAUAUACACAUGCAAAAUGGUCAUUGGCAGAGGAAGCUCUCAGUUAAUAACUGUGGAAGUGCUCAUAGAACACUAAGCUGAGAAGCAGGCUUUGUCCCAGUGAGGACGUUACGCCAAGAAGAGGAGAGGAACAUGGCGUCCUUGGUGAAAAUUGUAGGAAAAACACAAAUCUACAAGUUUGUCGAACAUCACGUUCUAAUAUUCGGCUUCUCAAAUGAAUUCUGGACAAAUGAGUCAAACGAUUGCCAGGUGAUCGAAAACAUCCUUCGCGGGCAUCACUAAGUGUAACACUUUUAGAUGUUCUCUCAUAGUUGUCUUGAGACAACUGUGAAAAGACGAUAUUUUUAUUAUUAUUUAUCGCAAAUUCGCUAUAAAAAUCGUAACAUACAAUUUAAUUUAAUUGUACUUAUCAAGAUAUACUUAUUGAGGUGUUCUUAUUGAGAUGAUCUUCUUAAAAGAGGUGCAAUCAAAAUAAUUUUAAAAUGCUUUCUACUACGAUGCUGUAGCUUUCAUUUGAUGCUAAGAGACCCAAAUUGGAUGAUAGAACAGGAUUUAUCCCGAGAUCAUCACAAGAGUUACCGCAGAUGUCUUGAAGGAGUUAUUCGUGGGAUGUCUACCAAAGCUCCUUGAAGGGUUUUAAGGAGAUUCACUAGUUUUCUGCAGGAAUUCCUUCCGGGAUUUUUUCCGAUGUUUCUCCUCCGAUUUCUUCAAGAGAUAUCCGAUAGCUUUCUUCUAGAGCAUGGUUUCCCAACUUUCGUUUCGCGACCCCCCAACUGCUUGCAAGCACGUUGCGAUUGUUCUACGAAAAGCGGGGUGACAACAGGUCGCGAGAGCCAAGGUUGGGAAGCGAUGUUCUAGAGCUUCUCCUUGGAUUUCUACAGAAGUUUCAGUUGGUAUAUUUCCCAAAGGUUCUCGCAGGAUUCCUUUUGAGAUUUUUGUCGGAGUUUCUCCCAGGACUUCUUUUAGAAGAUUCCUUCCGGUGUUGAUCCUGGGAUGUCUCUCAGAGUUUUUCAGAAUUUAUCCUGGACAUUGUCCUAACAUUUUUUUGGAAAGUCUGCUUUCUGUAGGAGUGUUACUGCGGGUAUUUUUCAUGGAGUUCAUCCCUUGAUUUUUUCGGUUAUUUUUCAAGGUUUUCGCUUGUAGUUCAUUAUCUUAUUUCUUGCAGUGAUCCACCUAAGAUUAUUUUCUUACAGAUUUUGGCGGGAUUAUUCUCAGAGCUCUUCCCAAAAUAUCUACCAACAAUUAUCCCGAGAUUCUAGAUGUUCCUUUUUGGGAUUUCUUUAAAACUUACUCAUGGAAUUCUUGCAAGAUUUUUUCAAAGAGAUUUUCUCGGAAUGUCUCCUGGGAUAACUUACGAGUUUUCUUGUAAGAAAUUCCAGAAAAAAUAUCUGAAACAAUUCCGAUCAAAUUUUGCAAAAAUCUCCGCAGACUUAUCGGAGAAGCUUCGAGAGGAACUUCGAAAAAAAUCCGGAGAAAAACUGGGAUAUCUCGGAAAAAAAAAUCUCAGGAGAAAAUAAUAAGGAAAUUUAAGGAGGAAUUCUGAAAACUUCUAAAAGGAAUCCCGGGAGAAAAUACGUGCGAAAUCCCGCAAGGUAAUCCACGAGAAAUAUCUAAAAACUGUCUCUGGAGGAAAUUCCUGAAAGAACUUUUGCAAACAUUUCGAGAGAAACUGUUGCAAGACUAUUCCGAAGCUACUGAGAAAAAUUCCCGGAAGAACUUACGAAUUUUUUUGGAAAGAUCUUUGGGAGGGAUCCACUGGGAAAUUCUGAAAGAAAGUCCAGGGAUACAUACUCUAGUAAAGACCCCGCAAAAACCGCGGAAAACAUGAAAUCGUGAAAUCUCUAGGAAGGUGCUGAAAGGAAACAAAUACGUAAAAACCUCUGGAUAUACUUGGGAAAAGUGAAGAAAGCCAGAGAAUAGAAAUCUUUGAUAAUUUCAAGGAAAAACUCGGCGAGAAACUGGAAAUGAGUUUAAAGGAGGAAUUCCGAAAGGAUUUGAAGGAAGAAUCAUAGAAUUUCGAAAUCCAAAUUAUAAGAAAAAAUAUAUAACCUUCUGAGUCACGGUAAAAUUAUUGUUUGAUUUCCAAUUGGGGAUCCAUUGUCAGAAUAAAUAAAUAAAUAAAUCGCAAACAGCUUUUGAAGGGUAUCUUGGUAGAAUUUUUGGAGAAUGUUUUUGCAGAACACUCGAAUAAAUCGUUAAAGAUUCCAAGAUCCUAAGAUUGAGGACAUUUCAACUGAAAUGUUAUAGGAAAAUUUCGGUUCUGUCACAUUCGCCCAAAAACCAUCCGCCCGAAUUUCAAAUGCCUGAAUGAUUAACGCCCGAAAAGAUCAUUCGCCCGAAUGUAAAAACGCUCAAAAACCAUAAUAAUCUUGAAAACACUUUUCUGAUGUUAAUUUCGCCAUUUGACUAAAUGCCAUCCGGUCGAAUCUAGUUUUGCUUAAUAAUGAUUAAACAUAAGGGGCUGUCCAUAUAUUACGUAAGGCAAUUUUUGCGAUUUUUCGAUACCCCCCUUGUAAGAUUUUUUGUAUGAAAACCCAAAUAUUUUGUAUGGCGCAUAAGAUUUUUUAAACAUUCCCCCCCAUCCCCCAUAAACCCUUACGUAAUUAAUGGACGGCCCCUAAGUCCUAUUUUCAACGGUGCUCAUGUAUACUAUUUAAAAGAAUGGUCCAAGGACCAGUUGACUCUGCCAAUUCAAUUGUCAAUUUCUUCUAAUCGCAAGCAUUUUCGACAGAGGUUUUUGCUUUCUUCGAGCACAGUCUGAUCUAAGGCUUAUGCUGUUACAGACAUUUUCGGAAAUAUAGCUGCUGAAAUUUUUAUUAGAUUUUAGCCUUUUUUUGUUUUAUUAGAUUUUACCCUUUUUUUGUUAAUAGGCUGUUCUUUUUAGUUUUUAGUUGUCCCUAAAGUUAUAAUUAAUUUGAUGUCAUUUUUAUCAGAAAUUUCCCCUUCUUACAAUCAUAAGCUGUUCUUUGAGGUCAUUGUGUCAUGGGAAACCUUGACAUUAGUCAACUUUUCAGCCUCUGGAUUCCAGACAUGGUUUGAAAAAAAAAAAAACAGCCUUUCCUGUGAUUCCCUAAGGAAUUCCUCAUAUGAUUGCUUCCGAAAUUCCGAGGUUUCUUCAGAAAUUCCUCCAGGGAUUCACUCGAGAAUUCUUUCUGUGAAUCUUUUAGGGACAACAUCCGAGAUUAUUUUAAAAUGCCUCCAAGCACUCUCCUUAGGAUUCAUCCAGAAAUUCAUUCAGGAAUUGUUCCUAGAUUCCUCUGUGAAUACCUUCAGGGAUUCGUCUAAAACUCCUGCAGGGGUUCGGGCCCAUAUAGCCGAGGCGGUAAACGCGCGGGUGUUCAGCAUGACCAUGCUGAGGGUGACGGGUUCGAUUCCCGGUCGGUCCAGGAUCUUUUCGUAAAGGAAAUUUCCUUGACUUCCUUGGGCAUAGAGUAUCUUCGUGCCUGCCACACGGUAUACACAUGCAAAAUGGUCAUUGGCAGAGGAAGCUCUCAGUUAAAAACUGUGGAAGUGCUUAUUGAACAAAGCUGAGAAGCAGGCUUUGUCCCAGGGAGGACGUUACGCCAAGAAGAGGAGAGGAGGGUUCGUCCAGGAAUUCCUCUAAAAAUACCGCUAGAGAUUCCUUUAAAAAUUCUUCCAGGUAUUCCUCCAGAGAUACCUCGAGGAAUUCUUCCAGGUAUUCUUUAAAGAAUUCUACAGGGAUUCUACCUGAUUAUUCUCCAGCGAUUCUUCAAGAAAUCCAUACAAGGAUUUCUUUAGGAACUCCUUCAGGAGCUCCUCUGAGGAUUUCUCAAGGGAUUUCUUUAGAGAUCCUUUAUGAUUCCUUUUGGGAAUCCUCUAGGAAUUGCUCUAACAAUUCCUCCAGAAACUCUUUUAUGAAUACCUGCACUGAAUUCUUUUAUGAAUACUUUCUUCUGGAGUUUCUCCAAGCAUUCCUCCAGGAUCUCCUCCAGGAUCUCCUCCAUGGAUUUCUAUAGGGAUUCAUUCAGGCCAGUGCUGCUAUUGGUCGUGACCAGAGCUGCCAGACAUACAGAUUUUCGUGUAUUAUACAGAUUUUUGACCUUCUAUACAGACAAGAUAGGGUCAUUUGGUAUUUGACCGCUAUAGAUUUGAUUAAACAUUUUACAUAAUAUUUCUUGGAAGUGCAGUUGUAAUCAUAGACAGCAUGUUGUGCUAUAUGCUACAUAUUUCCAAGAAGUAAUUUGCUGUUGGACGUGAACGUUCCUGGUGCUUUAGAUUCCGUGGGUCAAAAUUCUUAUAAGUAAGAACUGAUCUACCAUCGGGAGGAAAAAUGCUAAAUUUUUAUUAAAACUACAUAGACACAAUGUAAAAACUAUUGUUCAAGUGGGCAACAUAGCCUAUUUCAUCUAAACAUAGGUCGUUGUAGAGAUGAAAUUUGAAUAACGGGUUCAGAUUUGACAAAUAAACUGUCACGCAGCUCCAACUGACAACCCAUAAAAAAAGAAAAAAAAAAACUACGGCAAUUUCUCCAGGAAAUCAACCUCCCGGAGUUUAUACAGGCAUUUUUCCAAAUAUUCUUCCAAGGAUCCCUACAUGAAUUCCCCCUGAGAUUACUCUAGGAAUUCCUUCAAGGAUUUCUUCAGGAAUCCCCUAGGAAAUCCACCAGGGAUUCCUUCAGAAAUUUCCCUAGCAUUCUUUCAGGAUAUCAUCCAGGCAUUUUCCCAGGGAUUCCUCAAGGAAUUGAUCCAAAAAUUCCUCCAGGAAUUCCUUCGAAAAUUCAUACAGCAAUUUCUACGGGAAAUCUUGCAUUCCUUUUUGUAAAUCUUUCAAAAAUUUCUUUAGUAAUUUCUCUAGGAGUUUUUCCAGGGAAUUCUUUCAGGGUUUCCUUGAGGAAUUUAUCCAGAAUUGUUUUUUCCAGGGAUUCCUUCAAGCGAUCCUGCAGAGAUUUCUCCAUGAAUUGGCUCAAGGGAUUUCUCCACAAAUUUGACCAUCCAGAAUUCCUCCAGGAAUUUACCAGAAAUUUCUUCAGGGAUUCCUCAGAAGAUUCUUCCUGAGUUUCCUCCAAGAAUUUUUCCACGAAUUCCUCCAGAAAUUCCUCUGAGAAUCCCUAAAUCCCCUUUCUAAAGAUUCCUCAAGGAGUUCCUCUAUAUAUUCCACCAGGGGUUUCUCGAGCAAUUACUCCAGGAAUUCUCUAAAAUAUUUCUCCAGAGAUUCUACCUGAAAGUUUUCCAGCGAUUCUUCAGAAAUUUCUCCAGGGAUUCCUCCAAGAGUUCCAAGGAAUUUCUCUAAAGAUUCCUCGAGGAAUUCUAACAGUCAUGUCACCAGGUAUUCCUUCAGGAGUUCCUCUAGGGAGUUAUCUAGGGAUUUAUCCAGGCAUUCUUUCAGGAUUUGAUUCUGGGACUCCUCCAGGAAUACCUUGAAGUAUUGCACCAGGAAUUCCUGCAGAAAUGACCACAGGAAUUCUACCAGAAAUUACCCCAGGAAUUCCUGUAGAAAUUCCACCAGGAAUUCUCCAGGAAUUCCUUCAGAAAUAACUACGGCAGGAAUCAGUAAAUCAUCCCCACGGAGUUUGUACAGACAUUAUUCCAAGGAUUCCUCCAGGGAUUCCUGCACGAAUUCCUCGUCAGAUUCCGCUAGGAAUUCUUUCAAGGAUUUCUUCGGAAAUCCCCAGAAAGAGCUCCAGGGUUUCCUUCAGAUAUUCCCCCAUGAAUUAUUCCUCCAGGCACUCCUCCAGGACUUCAUUCAGCCAUUUCCCAAGGGACUUAUCCAGGAAUGCCACCAAGUAAACCCCCAGGAAUGUCUCCAAGAAUUUCUCAGGAAUUGAUCCAGAAAUUCCUCCUGGAAUUCCUUCGGAAAUUCCUACAGCAAUUUAUCCAGAAAUUUCUUUAGGAAAUCCUCCAGGGAUUAAGCUUGAAAAUUUUGAAAUUCUUUCAAGAAUUUCUUUAGUUUAUUCUUCUAGGAGUUUUUACUUUAAGCUAAUUUUAGAGGGAUACAGGAGUCAGGAAAUUCUAAAAGAAGUCAUCCAGGAACUUUUCCACAAUUAUCUCCGAGUAAUCUUUAAGGAGUUUAUCCACAGAUGAGGUUCAGGAAUCAGGUAUUUAGGAGUCCAUCCAUGAAUUCCUUCGAAAAUACCUUCUGCCGCUUCUGCAAAGGAGUUUCUUUGAAAUGUAUCCCGUUAUUCUUCUACAGUCACUGUGACUUAGUUUAAACAUAUACGUACUUACACGCUAGAAGCGCUAUCAGACAUUUCUGCUGGAAUUUUUCAGGAAUUCACCUCUCUUCAGACUCUUUGGGAAUUCUCUCUGGGUUCCCUCUCGAAAUUUCUCUAGAAAAUGCACCCCGAACUCCUCUAGAAAUUGCUUUUUGAAUUCCUCCAGAUUUUUUUUUAAUUCAUCACAGCUAUUCGUCCAGGAAUUCCUCCAGAGGAAUGCAAGGGAUUUUCCAAGAAUUCCAUCAUUCUCCGAAAAUAUUCCUGAAAUAAUUCUUCAAGAAUUUCUUCAGGGAUUUUCUUCAGAAAUUCUUACAAGGACUCCUCGAGGGUUUCCUCCAGUGAUAGUUUCAAGGCUUUUACAUUUUUAAAGGUUAUGUUCUGAGAUGAGUUAUAGGGAGUAUAUAAAACUGUUCCUAAAAAAAUCCGGCAAGGGUGUAGUGAAUAGAAUAAUACAAUACAACAAUACAACUAAAGGUAUAUUAUUAGAGGAAUAGAAAUCCAGGCUAUUUCAAGGUUGCUAAUAAGCUUACACACUUAGCUUUGGCUGUGCGAAUCUCGGUUUCUGAAUUUUAACCGAGAUUCAGCUAACAAAGUGACAGGUUGCUGGGCAACAAGGCAUGUUAUACUGGUUCUUGGCAUUUAUUAGCUAAGAUCUCAUGAAAACAUUUUACUGACAACUCGGCUGUACAAAUUUCGGCAUUGUUAAACCAAGAUUCGGCAUUUAAAAUUCAGUUUGUAGACAAAUGGGAUGAUUAAUUACUGAAAAACUUCAGUUAGUCAUAAAAGACAUUAUGUAGACAUUUAAAAAAAAUCUAGGUACGGGCUUCCAUUGUGUUCUACUGGGAAAAAUUUUGAAGGAAAUCAUUCCUUAACAUAACUUUAAUUCCACAAGGAAGCACUUGACAAUAUUUUGCAGUUAUGCUACUAAAAAUUCAGAGGCUCUUUGGGAUACCCAUCAAAGAAUUCCUUUGAAUGCUUUUAUUUCGAUUUCUUUUUUCGGUGAUUUAAAAAAAAUAAUUCUGGUUAUAUCAUAUUUCCAAACAAAACUAAGAGAAUAAACCAUAUAUACCAUUUUGGACAAUGAUCUAGUAAAGUGUGACAACUGACAAGUUGAGAAUAGUCUACAAUAACUAUCAAUUUAAUUAAACACAUAUUAUUCCAAAAAAAAAUGUCUAGUACAAAUCUAUGUUUGUCAUUUAGACAGUGGAUUACAGAUUUAUUUUUAUUUCCAUAUAUAAAGUCAUGAAAAAUUUCUGGAGGGAGCCUGGCGGAUUCUGGAGGGGCCUGCCCCCCCUGUAGCUACGCCAAUGGCUUUAUAUGAAUUUGAAUCACACAAAAGUGGUGAUCGUGGUACGGAUUUCAAAUGGUUUCCAAAUCGACACUUUUGUAACAACACCGCAUUUUUAAUAGUUAAUUUAUAUGCAAAAAUAAAAGUUUCACCAAUAGCGCUGAAAUUUUGCACAUGUGUUGGGACCUGAAUGGAAUCCAAAGAGUCGAUUUUUUUCAUGCAAGCGUGUCCCAUGCUAAUGGACAGUCACUGCGUCGGCUUCAAUUAGGUGAAUAAUAAAUUGAGUGAAGCAUGUUAAUUUGGAGAUCGUUGACCGAGGUCAUACUGUUCUGGCGAUGUACACAUAUGUAUACUGAGCCUAGCCUUGAACCAGCCUGCCGAAAACGUUUAUCUCAAAGAGCUUAGAUUUGAACUUUUUUUUUCUGUCUGCUGUCUUUUUAACAUUGCACCAGAAAAACACGACAGUUUCCACCACUCCGGAAGUAUUUUGUAAACAAAGAUAUGUGAAAUACUGUAACCCACAUUGCAUUAUUGCUUUAAAUUAGAGAAGGAACACCGUCUGGGCCAGAAAUGCUGGAGGAUUGCAGCUUAUUCCCGGCCGAAGUAAUCAUGUCGUCGGUUACAGACAGUAAAAUGCUACAAACUCUCGGGCAAACGAGAGAAACAUCUGCGUAAGGGUGGUAGCGAAGACGGCUAAUAACAAGACAGACAUCUACCCUCUUGCUACAUAUACUUUGGCAGCUAGAAGCACACUAGCGCCACGAACGACUUCAAGGAACAACAUCAUGAAUGAGUGUGCAUGCGAUGUUACCAUUUCCGUGUACGUAUUUGCAUGUACACUAGAGUGGGUGAACGUUGUAUGGAGAAACUUUAAAUUUGAUCGUAUCAACCCGGAACAAAGUUUUUUCAACCUAUGUUAGCGUCCAAAACAACUGUGCAAAAUUUGGGAGCGGUUGGUUACGUCCCCGUAUUCCGCAUUGCGAUUGAAAUUUGCAUGGAAGUUAGUAUGGGAAAACGUACUUUUUUGCAUUUUACUCAUAAAUUGAAUUCUUUUGUCUAAUACCAUGUAACUGAUGGCGUUAAAGUAUAGCCUAGGAUAUGCCGAAAAACUUUGCCGAAGACCGCAAAGUGAUCCGAUGCUUGUGCAAAAAGGUUAUUCGCCUGGUAACUUAGGCCAAAAAUUGAGAUUUUAUUAUUGACGUUAUUCCUUUACAUGUUAAAUGUUAAGCACCACUGGGCAAUCUGUACGUUAUAACUUUUUUCACAAGUGUCGGAUCACUUUGCGGUCUUCGGCAAAGUUUUUCGGCAUAUCCUAGGCUAUACUUUAGCGUCAUUGGUUAGAUCGUUUUAGACGAAAAAUUUCAAUUUAUGUGAAAAAUACAAAAAAAAACACGUUUGAAUCGAAAAAGCUUUGUUCCGAAAAAUCGAGUUUGUUGACCCAGUCUAAACGCACACAAUCAUGUCUUAAUGUUCCUGUGAAUCGUUGAGGGCGUUUCGACCAUGUCGCCUGAAACAUGUUGGGAGCUCACUGUCUUGUUAUUAGCCGUCUUCGGUGGUAGGUAAUAUCUUGUGGACUAAGUUGUUCGUCAGUGAAAACGUUACUGAAUUUGGUGCGGAACCGGUUUGCUUGUUUCUGCUGAUGUGGAGUCAGCAUCUAUUUCACCAUCGGUUAUAGUAGUGGAUGGCAAUCCGGUUUCCUGUUUUUGAUUGUUUACGUACAGCCAGACAUUUUUUUUCUGAAUUAUUCCAGCCCCCUCACUUUACAGACAGCCUUGUUGAGCCUUAAACAUACGUCAUACGAUUCAGCCAAAUGCAGAUAAAUCUGGAUUAGAGAGAAAUGUAUCAUUCAUGUUUAUUUGUUAUGGGAAAGUGUCAAUUUGAUUUUUCUUUUGUGAGCAGAGUAGAGAUUCCACACGAUCAAAAUCAAACCCCUCUAGAUUAGUUUGAUUUUGAUCGUGUGGAAGAAUGAUCUCAACAGUUGUCAAAUCACCACAUCUUGGCAAGACAAUGUUUACCGAACCGGCUAGUUAUUUACAAAAGCAAGUUUGGCAAAUAAUAAAUCGAUCUUAGCUCAUAGAUUUACUCAUCUAUCGAGUUGGAAAAGCCAAAUGUAUGUAUUCCUCAUUUCAAGACACAUAUAUCGCCAUGCGGUAACAAAUCAAACAUCAAUUAUCAAUGUGUUAGUCAAUUGUUGUCCAAAAAUUUUACCUCUCCUUUCAUGGCGUAGGUUCAUCUUCCUUUUUAUGUCUUUCGUCUAUAGACAGAUGACCGACGACAUCUAGAGAUGUUCGUCCAUUCACGACUACAAAGGUUGAUGAGCCGGGAAACACUCUUUCUUCCUACGGGGUUUCUUAUGGGCGUAUGAGUGGAAAAAAUAAAAAAAAUCUCCCCUCCUUUACUUUCGCACAGAAAACCGCAAGCAAAAUCAUCAUCAUCGUAGUCCCCAAUUAUAUAUUUGGCUCAUUCAGGUACAUCCUUGACAUUAGAGCAUCUUCAUAGGGGCGUUUGAAAAUGCAUAUUGGGCUUCUAGAUUUAUAAAUUCGAAAAAAUGAGAAAUUUGGAAAAAACCCUCUGACCCCUUCUAUCACAGGUUUGAGCUCGGGAAAAACCAUUCAAUCGACUCAUCAAUCAAUUUUCCCGAAAAGUGCGCUGGAAUCGGCUUUGAAAAUAAAACUAGAACUGGAACAUUACUGGAGAUGCCCUAAAACUAUAGCAUUAUACAUCGAUGCAUCUUUACCUGAUGAAUAUAUUUUACGACCCCACAGGAAGAUUGCCACUAAACUUAUGUCUAUGUAGAAGUUGUGAAGAUCGAGUCAACACGUUUUUCUACGUGAUUUUUGUUUUCAAAGCGUUAUAAAUGUUACCACAUUCUAUUAUUCUUAUCAAGUUUAUUAGGAAUAUUUUCAGCCCGAAGCUGAUUGAUCUCCAAUGAUGUUCUAUUAGAAAUCAAGGGUUUUAUGAAGCUUCAUGAUGGAAUACAGUAAACUAUUACGACGCUAAUUUCAAAUUCUUAGUAAAAAUUACUUAUUUUUUCAAUAGUUAUUAAGAGGAAACAAACCAUCAUCGUUAAGCAAAAAAUCAAAAGCAGUUUUCUCGCUGAAAUCUCAACCAAUGUUGAUAAAAAUUUAUCACUGCACUCUGACGACCAUCUGGAUAACAGUGAAAUAAUUUUCUAUGACGGUUUUGUGACUUAGAGGAAGAAAACUGCUUUUGAAAAAUUGAUGAUUGCUGAUGACUGAAUGAUGGUUAUUUGAGCCUUAACAGAUACUUCCAACUUGACGUAAGACUGUUAAUCCUCACUAAAUUGAAAACUUAUUUACCAGUCGAAACGGGUUUCCCAACAAUAUAAAGUACUACAUAACAAUUCCACGUCAUUGCAUUUGCAUAUGUUGCAAUUGUAGCAAUUGUUACACAAUCAUCUUAUAUAAUCAAGAUUUCACAACUUUAUGAAAUUCCUGCGGUGAUGUGGCAAGAAACGUGGCCACGAGUUUCAUCCAAAUGGGCAAUUGAAAUCAUCUUGAUCAUCCCUAUGCAGCUGUGGCGAAAUGCAAACUCGAUGGAAAUAUACAAACAGAUGAAACAUUUGAAAAGGCCAACAGACACAUAUUGGCACAUUUUUUUUUCUUGGAUAAAACGAACACAUUUACUGUCCAGCGCGGGAAGCCCUUUUCUGUUGUUUGGAUUUAUAAUUGUAGUCCAGUGGCGUCUCGUAACCUCACUUUUUACCUUUUCAAUGACCCUUAAACUUACAAUUGCAGACAAUUUAGAAUCAAAAUCGAAUCGGAAAUGAGUGUGAGCAGUAAAUUUCAUCAUUAUUUACUAAUUUGUUCAUAAAAUUUAAGAGUUCAUAGUUUUUGGACAGGUAGGUUUGAGGUUAGGGGAACGCCACUGUUGUAGUCUACAAUAUAAAUCGAAGGUUAUGAACUUCUGUGAACAUUUGAAUAGUAUUGGCGUUUCAGUCUUUUCGGGGUCAAAAACAACUAAGUUUUCUUCUUCCAACGAAACGCCAAAACUAUUCGAAAGUCUUCAAAACAGUCGUCGUCAAUAUAGUGAACUUCUGUGAACAUUCACAAUCAAGAGCUGAUUCUAAAACCAUGCUCCCAAAAUUUUAGGUUUAAGAAAAAUUUUAGUAUUUAGAAAAAUAAUAAAAUCACAACAUCUUGCCUGCUCUAAAACCAAUAAGUCUUGUUAUUGACGAGUUUAUAAAUCAAUUUUCUUAAAUUUUUCAAAAUUUUGAAAAUAGUAUGGGAAAAAUUGUAAAAAUGUUAUCAAUUUGUGUUUUUUAAUAAUAUGUGAGGAGCCAGAUGCAAAAGGAGUAUAACCUUUUGGUCGAGAUUGAAAAAAAAAACAAUUCUUCGGAUUUCAAGCUUUUUAAAACUGUUUUAAAAUUGUUUUUCUAAAUUCAUACGAAACACUAUAUACAUGUUGUAUGGGAUGACAAUUUUUUUAAACCUCGAGCCUCAUUUACUCAAAUGUGGGAUUUUAUUAGUUUUACUUUUUUGCUUCUAACGCCCUCAUGUAUACCAAUAUAAUGCUGAAAAGUUUGAAACCUUUUUUUGAAUAAAACAUUUUGACUUCCAUAAAUAAAUUAAAUCCGUUGCAGUCUGAGCUUUUGCAUUCGAGAGAUUCAAACAAAAACUACCACAGUAAAAAGCCAUAAACCCAUUUCAAAUGUUGAUCCCUCUACCAAUACUUUUUUAAGAUAAGAGGUAGCGUAUAAAGUUACGACCACACCGGAACCAUUUCAGUUCAGUUCGGAAUGUGGUGCGAUCACGUUGUGUUAGGAGUUCGGUGAACUCACGUGCUUUCCAAGAGUUUGGAAACUCAACGUGGAAAAUAAUCGUGGCGACCGAAUGUCGCUAAUCGCACGAGCAAUGUGUGGGAUAGGAUAAUGCUCCGCACAUCUGCGGAUGCUGACCCUAAUUUUUAGCUUCUGAAUAAGAGGUGGAAUAGUACAGCACUCGAUUGAAGGUGUGCUGGCUGAGAGUGGUACGCCAGUUCGGGAUAGUCUAAAAGAAUUUGCAGCAGCAUCAGUAUCUGAAUGUUAUUGAAAGGGAAAGUUUACUAUAUCGUUUGGAAUAGGUACAGGAAAGGCAACAGUUUAGUUUAUCUACCUAGCUUAGUGAUUCUUGAAUCUCCCAUCGAAUGUGUGUACAGUACACUGUGAAAAAAAGUUAUAUAAAUUUCACCGGAAAAGAUCAAGUAAACAUCGAAGUUAGACAUUUCUAGUUAUCAAUGUGAUUCUAGCUAAUCAAGCUUGAAAUAGUGAAAACUCGUAAGAAAAAAAAAAAAGAAUUUCACGCGAAGAGAAAACCAAAUAGUUUGGUACAUGAAUUUUGUUGAUCUUUAAAGUAUGAUGCUUUUGGAUUUCUUUUUGAGACAAUAGUAGUAGUCACAUAAAAAAAAUCGCUCUGGUUUUUAGGCGAAACCUCAUUGGAUUCAAUGUUCAAAUCACAUAAAAUUUACAUGUUAAACUAGGUUAUAAAAUGUUCUCAAGGAUGCCAGUGAGUUAUGAGCUAGGUUUUAUCUCAGUGUAGUUCAAAUCAAACAUCUGGACACAAGAUUUGCCAUUACAUACACUUAUACAUAUUUCGCACUGUAGCGUUGUAUGAGUAAAUCUACCGGCAACACCUUCAACUCGAUUUUGGAUUGAGGUGUUAUAAAAAUAUCUUUUUUUUUACUAUCACCUGUCGAAUUUAGCCACUCAAUCGGCCACGUUUAUAUCAAAACGGUAAUAAUCGGUUGAGACGUCUUUUUGAAGUCGCACACCUUUGCCAAAGCUAGCCGGCAAAACUAUCAGAUAAACGUGUUUCCACAUGGGUAGACGUUGACUGGAAAUUUUGUUCCAUUCCAUGUGCACGUGUCUAGCGAUUCAAUGCAUGAGCCGAAUGUGGAACUUAGGUACUGAUAGAUACGUUGCAGUCUUAUCUCUGCAUUUUUGAGUUCGACAUAGAUAACAGGUAAAGGUAUUUGCUGUCAUGUAGACGCCAGGUGGAAAAUUUUAAAUUCCAUAUGUUCGUGAAGUGAUCAAUCAAUGUUUUAGGUGAAGUUGGCACGUGUUAAUUUUUAUAAUUUUAUCUUUGUAUUAUGGCAUUGAGAAACGUUUCCAUACUUUGUCAAUGCCUGUUAGAAAUCCUGAUUGUUUUUUUAUUUCAAUGUUCGCACAGUUCAUGGAGCAAACUAAGUAGUGACGUCAAAAUUCAAUAUUUAAAACUACAAUAAAAUCAUGAUACAUCCAGUACUAUUACGGAUAUGUGGCCGUCAAAACUGUUGCACAGUGGAAGGUGUUUUCAAUUACUUGAAAGCUUCCAUUGUUGGGAGGGAAUUGAUUGUUGUUGAGUUACAUCAGCCUAGUGCUGAAAAUUUUUACAAUAAAGAAAUGAUGAGUGAAUAAUGCAAAAUUUAACUGAGUUUGAGUGCACUGCUCCUCAGAUAUGCCGCAAAAUGUUUUGAAUUGAGUAACUACCCCGAUAAAUUCUGAUGGUUCACUUCUGGUUUUACAAUCAAAUCAGUGGCGUCUCGUAACCUCACUUUUUACCUGUUCAAAUACCCUAAAAAUUGCAUUUGCGGAGAAUUCAGGAUCAGAAUUGAAUUGCAAAUGGAGGAAAACAACUAUUCUCGUCAUUUUCUUCAAACUACAAGCCGAUUUGUUGAGAAAAUCCAAGUAUUUACAUUCGUUGAACAGGUAGAUUUGAGGUUAGGGAAUCGCCACUGAAUCAAAUGUUGCCAUGAAUGCUAUGAUGAGGUUCAUGGAACCAGAUAGUUUUGGUAAAUCGAAAGCUAUGUAAAAAAAACAAACCAAAAUGUUAGAGCAUUCCAUGCGAUGCUAAACAAGUUGAUUGCCGUCUCCAUAGAUGUUUUAGGCAAACAAAAAUGCGAAACAUUCUACCAUAAAGAUACAGCCAUGUAAUUUCUAUUAUUCGCUCAAAGAGCUAAAAAUCUUGCAUGCCAAAUGAAGUGGUGUCCUAAGGUCCAAGGAAAACCACAUGUGUACGGGCUCGAUCGAGUGACCUAAUGCUGUAAGUCCUGGCUAACAGCCAAACCACUACUAAGCUCGAUUGAGUCCAUAUGUACACCGGUUUUCCUUGGUUUUCUGUCCACGCUGAAAUAUUGCUUUCUAUGUCUGAAAUGGUGCCUGUCACGGUCGCCAUGUGUUGUGUUUCAAGCAACAACGAACUGUUUACGACCAACCAAAUGGACAGCUCCAUUUGUGUUUUUUUUGACUUGUCUUUCGUCCAAAAAAUUCAGUUGAUUCUACUGAUUUCGGCUGACUACAGUGUUUCCAGCCACUGUUGUUGCUGAAUCUUGGCUAAUCCACCACUGUAAUUGCUAUUGCAACAACGCGGCAUUUGUCGAUGGAAUAUUUGUCAAUUAACAUCUUGACAAUCAUGGUUCUUCGGGGAUUACUGUGCACUUCAAGCCGGGCAGUUUCAACUAUUGCCGAUCAUUAUGGCCGAAAUGUUCGAUUUGAGUUGCAUAGUAAUCCCUUUCAAUAACCACAAUGUUCAAUUUCUACACACAGUUGUGUUUUCGGAUAUCGCUGUGUUCAUGAGUCUUGUCAUGAAACUGAUUCUGAACAAACCACCACUGUAACUGCUAUUGCAACAUCUUUGUCAUUUCGUAGUCUGCUAAAUAUUUUCAAUUACCAUCUUGUAAUUCGGGGUUAUUCGGGGUAUGUUGUGCAAUCCGAGCUGGACAGUUUCAACUAUUGCCGAUCCAUAUGGCAUAUUUUUAACAAUGCGUUAUUUACUACAACAAACUCGUACAAGUUUCCUGUAUGAAACAUUCCGAUUGGGAAUUAUACAUUUUUUUGUUAUGAUGAGGUUCAUGGAGCCCUGGAAACUUGGAACUACUACGAAUAAUGCUAUCAAACGAGAGAGUUUUAGAAAAUAGCAGGGCCAUCCAUUUACCUAUCGAAAACUAUUUAAAAAAAAGCAAACCAAAAAUGUUAGAGCAUUACAUGAGAUAAUACAAAAGUUAUUAGCAGUCACCAUAGAUGUUUUGGGCAAACAAAAAUGAGGAACAUUUUGCCAUAAAAGUACAACCAUGUAAUUUCUAUUAAUCGCCCGAAGAGCUAAAAAUUCUUGCAUGCCAAAUAAAGUGGUGUCUAUAGGUCCAAGGAAAACCCCCUUGUAUACGGGCUCAAUCAAGUAACUUCAUGCUAAUAGAUAAGCCACAACCACAAGCUCGAUUGAGUCCACGUACACUGCCGGUUUUCCUUGGGUUUCUUUCUCUCUAAGCUGAAAGAUUGCUUUCUAUGUCUGAAAUGGUGUCCGUCACGGUCGCCAUGUGUUGUAUUUCAUGCAACAAUCUAAAUGUUUACAGAAAACCAACGAACAGCUUCGUUUGAGCUUUUUCUGGGACGCGCGUUAAGUCUUUUUGUUUGCAAAUGAUGGUUCCAGUCUUUGGGCAAUCAUCGUGGCAACCACUAUUGAUUCAUCACUGUAAUUGCUAUAGCAAAAAAAAAUGACUUUUCGUUGUCUGCUGAAUAUUUGUCAAUCAACAUCUUGACAAUGGUUAUUUGGGGCUUAUUGUGCAAUUCAAAGCCGGGCAGUUUCAACUAUUGCCGAUCCCUAUGGCCGAAAUGUUCGAUUUCAGUUGCACAAUAAACCUCCUUCAAUAACCACAACGUUUCGAAACUGAUUAAAAUCCUAAUAAGACACCAAAGUAAUUGCUUUGCAACAUUUUGUUGUCUGCUAAAUAUUUAUCAAUUAACAGCUUGGUAAUGAAAAAAAAACAAAAAAAUGUUGUUAUUGGUUAUUCGGGGUUUAUUGUGCGAUUCAAACCGGACAGUUUCAACUAUUGCCGGUACUUAAUGACCAAAAUGCUCGGUUUGUUUUGCAUGAAAAACCCUUUCAAUAACCAGUCAGUCUUCAGUUUCUCCAAACUGUUUUAAUUAAGUUUCGGGUUUGAAAAUACUCGAUUUGAGUGACACGAUAGUCUCCCUUUUCAUAAUCGUUCACGGUCGCCAUGUUGUACUCUAUGGCGAUACGUCCGGUGUCACGGUCGCCAUGUAACGGCAACCAUUGAAAUUUCUCAAUAUUUUCUAUUUCCUAUUCGUAAACGUAUGAGGUUCUCGCACAGUCAAUAGACGCGGAACUACAUAUGCUCCACAUUCAGGGAAAGACUUAUUCGCGAUAGGGUGUUUUCUGUCUUAAAUUUAGUUUAGUCUAGUCUAUCCAGAACUCCUCUUUUUUUCUAAUCAUUGAGGAUACAAGCACUGCGAUUGUCUAUUGGGUGUCAUCCACUUAUUUCUGCGUACUGUUUUCGUAGUUUUCGAAAUUCCUGUAACGCAUAAGAAAUCAAAGUGGAUGAUCCCGUACAUGUUUUAGUUAAAUUCAAUAGUAAACCUUCCCAACUUCAUAACAGUAUCUAAUGUGUUGAGCUUCGACGUCCCACGUCACGGUCGCCAUGUAUUGGCAACCAUUGAAAUUUCUAAAUACUUGUUAUUACCGAUUCGUAAACUUUUGCGGUUUUUAUACAUUCAAUAAACGCGGGAAUACAUAUGCUCCACAUUCAGGGAAAGUUUUACGCUUAUCUUAGUUCUGCUUUUCUUCGAUUUUUCUGGAAAUUCUGUUCUCUCCAUCCUAACCUACAAGGACACCUGUCCUGUGGUUGUUUAUUGAGUGCCAUCCACCAAAGUUUUUCUUUCAGUUUUGCAACAUGUAAGAAAUCAAAGUGGAUGGCACCAGUUACAAUUGAUAACAAACCUCUCGAAAAUCACAGAGGCGCAUCUUAAUGCAGCAUUUAAAAACAACCACCAGAAUUUCUCAAUAUUUUCUAUUUCCUAUUCGUCGAAAUACAUAUGCUCCACAUUCAGGAAAAGGCUUACGCCAAUCUCUUGUCUGUCUUUUAAAUCUUCUAAAUCGUCUUUUAUAUGAUGUUUUGUGUUUCGUGAUUGUCUUGUAAAUUUCUUCUCUUCUUUUUCUUAGUUAACAAAGAUACGAACACUGUGAUUGUCUAUUGGGUGCCAUCUACUUAAUGUCUCAACUUUGUUAGUUCGUGGAAAGAAUAUGACCUGUAACAAUUAAAGUAGAUGGCUCCUGGGCAUGAAAAUGCAUUUCUAUUUGAGAGCCUGUUAGUUUCCAUCGUCAAUGUGUCCACAAAGAGGUUAUGCAUCAUAUUUAUUGUCAAAAAAGACACUUGUUUUUUUUUUGCAGAAGUAGGAAUUUUACAACUUCAGAUAAAGUAAUGAAAAUUCGUAAUGAAUAAUGAAUUUUCGUAACCAUAAUGAAAAAGACGAAACAAUCUUCUAUUGUUAUUUCUUUUUUCAACCGGUAAAACUCGAUGAAUUACUUUUGUGAUAAAAUCUUAUGCCUUCAGCAAGAUACUAAUCAAUGACUUGAAAAACUCUUGAAUAUAAAAAGGAAUCCUUUGUCGUUUGUUUAAUGUUUGAACUUCUGUUGAAUUAAAUAUUUGAGAGCGCAAAAAAACUUGAUGAUUAGAAAUUUCUGAAAAAAUGUAAGGAAUAAUUCAUACUAAGAAUAAAUAAUUUUAUUUAGAGAUGUGAAUCGUUUUAGAAAAAAAAACCUCAGCAUAUUUUCAAACAAAUAAAAAUUCAGAUAUGUUAACGCGUUAAUGGCUUAAAUGAAGCUUAUUGUAAACAUAAUGCAGAAUAAAUUCAAAGAUAUCAUGUACAACUUUAAACCUGGAAAGACUUUUAUCGAACCUCCAAAAUCUUAACUUUUUAUGUAUUUUUAAAGUCACUAUCAUGCUAAUUACUAUAUUGUUUGAAGUAAAAUGUUCAGUUGUUUUUUCAAAUAAGCUUAAAUUGUAGCCUUCCGUUUCGUAUUCAUAUGACUCUGUUAAAAAAUCUGGAUAAAACUGAUAGGUAUUACAGUAUAAAACUUUGAAUCAUUACAUUUAAAACAUCAUAUUUUGCAAAAAGGAAUAAUCAUUCAUUUAUAAACCUUUGUUACAUUGGGAUUAUUAUAAUUGCUUGAAACAAUAAAUUGGAAUAGCUUUAAUAAAUUGUAAAAGCUAGAAGAUAAGUUAUACAGAACAUUAUUUAUGAAGCUGCUUUGUCGUUGUACCUAUGGAAAAUCAUCGACGUCUCACAUCUCUAAAGGGAGACCUUUAAAGCAGACUAGCGAAGCCAAAGAGAAAUACGGGGACACCAUCAGUGAAAGUUUGCUACAGAAAAAGCAGUUGUAACGAUUGACGGCAGGCAGAAACUUAUCGUUUUGGCCCUUUUCCCAUAUGGUGGUCAUAUGGUUGACACUUUCUAAAAAAAGGCAACGAUUGACGCAGUCAGGUAGAAACUCAUCGGCUUACCCGUUUUUCGGUCGACACUUGGUUUAAAAAGGCACCCACAAUCCGGAAAGUAACACCAAAGCCAAAUAAGGAUUGCAGCAGCAAUGGUCUCUGACAUCCAUACAAUCGAUAUGGCACGGCUAUCAUUGCGAAAGUCACAAAAAGAAAAGCGAUGCUAAUCGCACAUACAUACAUACACAUCAUUCUUAAAACCUUCACAGAGGUAAUAUGUGUAUUAACCGUUGUAAUGCACUGGAGUCACAGUGACGUGCUGUAUUUGAAGUUACACCUAAAGAAGGUGAAGCAGUCAUGAUAUGAGUUAUGAGAGUCAAAGAAUCAUGUUUCGCGCUUGUCACUCAUCCGUUCUGUGGACGGAAAUCAUGAAAACUGAUGAAUACUCGCAGUCAAAUCGAAUGAGAGCCUCAACGCGAGGAACGGCUGUCAGCAAUUCUUUAAGAUUGUUAGCUCCUGGAAAGCACCACUGACAGUCAAAUGACCAUUUAGAAAAGACUUGUACGCAUGCAGUUCGGUAUUUCUGAGAUCGAAGCCUUGUCAGAGCAACAAAAUCCAAAUAUCAAGCUGUCGUCGCUCUACUCACACGGAAGUCAUUAUUGUCUGAAGGCUCCUCAGUUCAACUGAAGUUCGACUGCCAGCCGAAAUAUCGCCCAACUGCCUUUAAGAUUCUGAUCACUGACGUAUUUACCUUCGCCAAUGGCUUCGCUUGCUGUUUCUGUUCCCGAACCCGAUUAUACAAUGUUUCCCGUCCGGAUAUUCAGAAGUGAAGUCAUCAUCAGUUCAAUAAAAUUUUGCUCACAUACUUAA